UGUACAAUCCACGUCGAUAUGGGUUAGCUAGGGGUGCGCAUUACGCUCCCUCAUUUUAAUUAAAUGUUAUUUUAAACUCACUUCGAGUGGUGACCUUGUUGAUAUAGGGAAGCAGAAUGCCAUUUUUGUCUCAUGCAGAGAGCUUUUGAAUUGAUGAUAUCCUUCAUCACACUUUGGUUGUUCAUGUCAUAUUACUGUUGUAUUGAUUAUUAUUGAAGCAAAUAUAUAAGAGGGGUCCCGUUAAUUAGUAUCUUAUUUUUAGUUGGUGGUACUCAUAUAUGGGAGAUCAUACAGAAUCUUGCAAUAGCGGAAUUUUCAAUUCUGGAUGGAACCUAAGUCCAAAACAGAGGCAGAAGGUUGGAGUUUAUAACGAGGUUCUAUGUAGACUUAGGGAAUUGAAUGUCCCAGAGGCUAUGGUUCCUGGUUUUGAGGAUGAGCUUUGGGCACACUUCUAUCGCCUUCCUUCUAGGUAUGCAUUGGACAUGAAUGUGGAGAGGGCACAAGAUGUUCUUAUGCAUAAAAGGUUACUGGACAUCGCACGAGCCCCAACUACAGCAUUCGGGCCUGCAGUUGAAGUCCGUCUUGUACAGGUUGGUUCUGCUUCAGCUGGUCAUUCUAGUAAAUCCCUUCAUUCAAACUCACAAAGUAAAGUUUGUCCUGAAGAUUCUGGUAUUCCAGGCAACAUGAGCUUCCAUCCUCCACCGGCUUUGGGUUCGUCAACUAAUAUGGAACUUGCUCUUGGCGAGAGCCAGUUACAAGUUCGAGACAGGGAUAACUAUUUGAAUUUUUAUGCACAUUAUGCCCGGCCCAUACAUGAAAUCACAAUUUCAACAAAUGACAAGCCAAAACUUCUCUCUCAGUUGACAUCCUUACUAUCUGAGACUGGGUUGGACAUUCAAGAAGCACAUGCUUUUUCGACAAUAGAUGGCUAUUCAUUGGAUGUUUUUGUUGUUGGUGGUUGGGCGGUUGAGGAAACAGAGAAGUUAAAAUAUGAACUAGCUAAGAAAGUUCAGAGGCUCCAGCAACCUCAAUUGAAAAAAAAUGGGAGUCUUCCUACUGCAAAGCAAGAGCAAACCAGGAUGAACUUUAUCUGGAGAAUUGGUGCUGGGUGUUUAAGAUAUGAAAAUAAAAUUGCAUCUGGACCUUUCAGUGAUUUGUAUAAAGGUACGUUCUGCAAUCAAGAUGUAGCCAUCAAAGUCCUUAAACAUGAGAGUUUGAAUGACAAUAUGCUAAGAGAGUUUGCUCAGGAAGUGUAUAUCCUAAGUAAAAUUCAGCACAAGAAUGUUGUCAAAUUUGUUGGCGCUUGUACAAAACCCCCAAACCUUUACCUUGUCACAGAAUACAUGUCUGGUGGAAGUAUGUUUGACUUUUUGCAUAAACAGAAGACUGUCCUUGCUCUUCCAUCUUUACUCAAAGUAGCCAUUGAUGUUUCCGAAGGAAUGAAAUAUUUGCAUCAGAAUGAUAUCAUACAUCGGGACCUUAAAGCAGCUAAUCUUUUGAUAGAUGAGAAUGGGGUAGUUAAGGUUUCCGAUUUUGGUGUAGCUAGAGUGCAUGAUCAGUCUGGUAUCAUGACUGCAGAAACUGGAACUUACCGGUGGAUGGCUCCGGAGGCAUGGAUGAGGCUGUUUAAGGACACAAUAGGCAGCAGUUUGUGAUGUAAUAAGAUGAACCUAGACAGGUUGGAAUGAGAAUGACAGUUUUUUUUCUGGUGAACAAUACUUAAAGCUAACAUUAUUUUCAAUACUGCUUUUGGUUGCUUAUGCGCUCUGCAGAUGGAUAAUAAUAAUUUUGUCCCCCAAUUUGUAAAACUCCAAUCCAAAAGAAAAAUGUUGUAACAAAGAAGACAAUGGUAGGCUAUUGCUCUCAAAUUACCUUCUCUCCUGUUGGCUGAAACCAAAACUAUGGCUUUUUUCCUAUGAAUGCUUUAAUUGGUUAUGUAAGACAGCUAAAAAAUUGAUAUGUCUUGCCUUUUUGUUGCUCAUUGUAUUUAUUAUAAUCAACUUGUGAUUCCUUGGCAUAUGGAAGGUUAUUGAACAUAAACCAUAUGAUCAGAAAGCCGAUGUCUUUAGCUUUGGCAUUGUUCUUUGGGAAAUGCUCACAGGAAAGCUUCCUUAUGAGCAUUUGUCCCCAUUGCAAGCAGCAGUUGGAGUGAUCCAGAAGGGUUUAAGGCCUCAAAUUCCAAGGCAUACUCAUCCAAAGUUAGUGGAAUUGCUUCACUGGUGCUGGCACCAAGAUUCAUCUUUGAGACCCCACUUCUCAGAAAUUCAAGAAUUUCUGCUGCGUGUGACCUAGACGGUUAAUGGGGAAUGUGAAGGCUAGGGGAAUGCAUGAAAAUGAAUAUUCACCGAGGUACCCCUCAACAUGGUAAGAGGCUAAGUGCACAUCUAAAUGUGAGAUUUCUCAAUUUAAUGUAAAGGUUCGUGAUUGGAAUAUGAAGUUGAUAUUACCCAUUGGCGAGAUGUAUAUAAACUUAUAUGUGAAGCUAUUUCUCAUUAAAACAAGCAGUGAUACUCACAGGUGAGCUAUUAGGCAAAAAAUAAAUGGAAUUCAGUUGUAAAUUAUCAUGAUUCUAAAUGAUAUUAAAUAUUUAUGAGCAUAUGCAGUGCUUGAAUGUUCACAA